rnacentral:misc_RNA from 1 species
CGAAGGAACCUGUAUUCAUGAUGAUCAUCAUGAAUACCUAUAUUCAUGAUGGCUAUCAUGAAUAAUGUCAACAGCGUUGGCGGAGAUUUUGGAAUGAAAGUCAGUCGAGAGCGCAUGGCGGAGAACCGCUGCCGGAUUUUGGAUGCGGCCAGCCGACUGUUUCGCGCGAAGGGGUUCGAGGCGGUCAGUGUCGCCGAAGUGAUGAAGGCUACAGGCCUCACCCAUGGCGGCUUCUAUGGCCAUUUCGGUUCGAAGGACGACCUUGUGGUCCAGACUA